GUAGUCGUGACUGAGUGGUUAAGGCGAUGGGCUUAAAAUCCAUUAAGGUCUCCCCGCGCAGGUUCGAGUCCUGCUGAUUGCA
rnacentral:tRNA from 2 species